ACAAAGUAAGGAAGAAAAUGGCUCCCCCAGUGACAGCAGUGGAGUGACUCUCUACAGGGCCUCUCCUUUGUAGUUCUAUAAGGUCAGUGGCUCCUGGGGACAGGGCCACACCAGGGCCCAGAAUCAUUUCUCUGUGCAGAAUGAACCCUAUUCAUAUUACAGGCUCUCAUCAGUGUGUUCUUCCAGAAGUUUCUUCUCACUCGGGAAGUGUGGUCCUGAUCAUGUGGAAAUACUAGAAAUUGGAGAAGAAGCGGGGUUAAGGACAGAAAUCAGCGUCUGGAAUCUGCUCACCCAAGAAUAAUGGAUCUAUUCUGCUCAAAAAAUGCCUCGAUUGUUGAUUUGUUUACUUCAGCUCCUUUUCUGAAGGAGAAUAUCAGAAUUUUGGGGACAAAGCAAAAUUGGGAGCAAGGAGGGAGAGAGAAAAAUGAGAGAGAGAGAGAGAGAGAGA